rnacentral:lncRNA from 1 species
GGCAGCGGUGGGCGCUGGCCGGGGAGCAGCGGCGGCGGUGGUUGCCGACCAGGAAGCAGCGCCGGCGGUGGAGGAGAAGGAAAGCAGGGGUGGUCGGUGCCGGGAAGCAAAUGUUCCUUCUUGGUUGAGAAGGAACAGCGUGCGUGGCUGCCUGCUUUACCCUAACAAAUUUUUUUUUUUUUUUAUUGAGAUGACGAACUAUAGCGAG